GGUAUGGAAUCCGCUGGUAUUCAUGAGACAACCUACAACAGCAUCAUGAAGUGCGAUAUUGACAUCAGAAAGGACCUGUACGCC